UACGUAGGUGGCGAGCGUUGUCCGGAUUUAUUGGGCGUAAAGCGCGCGCAGGCGGCUGCCUAAGUCCGCUGUGAAAUCUCCCGGCUCAACUGGGAGGGGGCGGUGGAGACUGGGUGGCUGGAGGGACCGAGAGGCCGGUGGAAUUCCCGGUGUAGUGGUGAAAUGCGUAGAGAUCGGGAGGAACACCUGUGGCGAAGGCGGCCGGCUGGGGGUCACCUGACGCUGAGGCGCGACAGCGUGGGGAGCGAACCGG
rnacentral:rRNA from 1 species